UACGGAGGGUGCAAGCGUUAUCCGGAUUCACUGGGUUUAAAGGGUGCGUAGGUGGGUUGGUAAGUCAGUGGUGAAAUCUCCGAGCUUAACUUGGAAACUGCCAUUGAUACUAUCAAUCUUGAAUAUUGUGGAGGUCAGCGGAAUAUGUCAUGUAGCGGUGAAAUGCUUAGAGAUGACAUAGAACACCAAUUGCGAAGGCAGCUGGCUACGCAUAUAUUGACACUGAGGCACGAAAGCGUGGGGAUCAAACAGG
rnacentral:rRNA from 1 species